rnacentral:misc_RNA from 1 species
CGAGAGGUGAAAUUCGUUG